GCUGGGUGCGGUGGUGCACACCUGUAAUCCCAGUGGCUGGGGAGGCUAAGGCAGGAGGUUCAAGAGUUCAAACCCAGUCUCAGCAAAAACAAGGCAGUAAGCAACUCAGUGAGACCCUGUCUCUA
rnacentral:sRNA from 1 species